UGGAAUCAAACUGAUUAUGACAAUGAAACAUGUUACUACGGUUACACUGGGCCAGAUACAUCUAAUGGAGAAAUCAAAAUCUACAACUGCAGUUUGGGUUCCUGCCAUAAUGGAACGUGCAUCCCAAAUGGUGAAUGCGCCGAGUGCUGGUAACGGAAGCAAGCGGAAGCGUGACGUAUUCGCUGCAAGUGCUGACAACACCACGAGUGAAGAAAACGGCCCUUCCAUUUGGCGUUUAGGCUUCACAAGAUGAUCCAGAAGCAGUUUAGCGUAAAUUGUGGUUUGGUAAAAGGAAAUAAAUAUUACAUGGGGUGA